rnacentral:rRNA from 1 species
UCCGUAGGCGGUUUAGUAAGUCAGUGGUGAAAGCCCAUCGCUCAACGGUGGAACGGCCAUUGAUACUGUUAGACUUGAAUUACAAGGAAGUAACUAGAAUAUGUAGUGUAGCGGUGAAAUGCUUAGAUAUUACAUGGAAUACCAAUUGCGAAGGCAGGUUACUACUUGUGGAUUGACGCUGAGGCACGAAAGUGUGGGGAUCAAACAGGAUUAGAUACCCGUGUA